GUGAGUUCAUGCUGCUAUGGACAUGGCUCGCUGACCAAGCUGCUAAUCUCAGAUGCUGGACAGGAUGAGCAAUGGACCUUCUAAUGAGGGCUGAAAUCUCCAUGCCACCCUGAUGAAGUCCACCUUGCAUGUAGAAACACCGUCGACUUCUCUGGGCUUGGAAGCAACUGGGAUGGACCAUCACACCAUGGAAUCAAUAUUUCAGGUCUUUUUGGAAGGAUACCAGGUGCUCGCGACCGAAGACGAAAACGACCAUCCAGACUGUUACCAGCAACAAGUCCAAAAGCAAGCGUCUGUCAUGGUGUGAGGUUGUGGCAGUGCUCUUAGCAAAGUUGGAGACAUUAGACUAAGCCGGUCUCAAGAACAAGCCCACUACACCCCGAUACUGAGACAAGACUGAGUCGAAAUAAUGGUGAGAUCAAGACAAGACUGUCUAUUUAUGGUCUCAAGACUGGACUUGAAUACGACAACACUAAGUGACUCUUUAACUUAUUUUCACUUAUAACCAAUAAUCCCACUGUCACUGUUCAAACAUCUGCAUACGACUGUAUGAACAGAACUUGCGCAUUUACAUUUAGCACA